rnacentral:lncRNA from 1 species
AACACCUCGGGUGCACCACGUCCACGUGGACUGCGCAUCCCAUUUCCACCUUUCGUUCUUCCUCCACCAAAGCGAAGGUUAUUAAAACACUACGGUGCGUCCUGACGCAGAACGCUGCUCAGGACAUCCUUAUUUUGAAGCGAGUAGUUGGUCCCUCUGCUCCACCCCGCCUUCCGUCCAUCACUGUCUUUCACUGCUGGGCUCUCCCACGGAUCUUCCCAUGCUGACGGAGAAGAGUUUGCCGAGGUUCACUUCCGAGUAGCUGCUCAGGGACAGGCAUUUGUCUACCGUGCUCUUCAGUUUCCUGUAGGCCUCGGACACUUCCUUCCUGAGGGGCUUCCUCCUUACGAACUCUCUAUCCUCUUCAGUAAUCACUUUAUCCGUUGC